UACGGGGGGGCAAGCGUUGUUCGGAAUUACUGGGCGUAAAGGGCUCGUAGGCGGCCAACUAAGUCAUACGUGAAAUCCCCCGGCUUAACCGGGGAACUGCGUCUGAUACUGGAUGGCUUGAGUUCGGGAGAGGGAGUGCGGAAUUCCAGGUGUAGCGGUGAAAUGCGUAGAUAUCAAGUGGAACACCAGUGGCGAAGGCGAGUCUCUGGACAUUUCCUGACGCUGAGGCACGAAAGCUAGGGGAGCAAACAGG
rnacentral:rRNA from 1 species